rnacentral:rRNA from 1 species
UAUCUCUGUAGAGUCUGCAUAUCAAUAAGCGGAAGGAAAAGAAACUAACUAGGAUUCCCUCAGUAACGGCGAGUGAAGCGGGAAGAGCUCAAAUUUGAAAUCUUCAAGGUUCUACCUUGACGAAUUGUAGUUUAAAGAAGUGUUUUCUGUUGGAGUUUUGGUAAAUGUUCUUUGGAAUAGGACAUCAUAGAGGGUGAGAAUCCCGUAUUUGACCAUUACUUUCCAGCGUUGUGAUACACUUUCAAAGAGUCGGAUUGUUUGGGAAUGCAGUCCAAAAUGGGUGGUAAAUUUCAUCUAAAGCUAAAUACUGGCGAGAGACCGAUAGCGAACAAGUACCGUGAGGGAAAGAUGAAAAGAACUUUGAAAAGAGAGUUAAACAGUACGUGAAAUUGUCAAAAGGGAAGCGUUUGACACCAGUGUUGUUUUCUCGAAAAUCAAUUAAAAAAGGCAGGAUUUUGUGUUGUAUUGACUUUAUCAGCUUUCUGCACUCUUUUCUUGUCUUUUUUAAUGCACUUUUCGUUUAACAAGUCAACAUCAAUUUCUUUUGUUGUAAAAGGGUCAUUGGAAGGUGGCUUUCUUUUCGGAGAAAGUGUUUAUAGCCUUUGGCCUCUGCAAUCGGAGAGAUUGAGGUCUGCAGCGUAGAUCCUUCGGGGUUAGAUACAGUUAGAUGCUAAGUUAUAGCCUUUUCAUAGACAACUUGUUGACUAUAAUCAUCAUGUAGCUUACUCGCUUAUGCUAUUUUACCUACGCUUAGGAUGUUGACGAUCAGCUGAGCGCG